GAUGAACGCUGGCGGCGUGCUUAACACAUGCAAGUCGAACGGUGAAGGCGGAGCUUGCUCUGCUGGAUCAGUGGCGAACGGGUGAGUAACACGUGAGCAAUCUGCCCCUGACUCUGGGAUAAGCGCUGGAAACGGCGUCUAAUACUGGAUACGAGCUGCGACGGCAUCUUCAGCAGCUGGAAAGAACUUCGGUCAGGGAUGAGCUCGCGGCCUAUCAGCUUGUUGGUGAGGUAACGGCUCACCAAGGCGUCGACGGGUAGCCGGCCUGAGAGGGUGACCGGCCACACGGGGACUGGGACACGGCCCAGACUCCUACGGGAGGCAGCGGGGGGGAAUAUUGCACAAUGGGCGAAAGCCUGAUGCAGCAACGCGGCGUGAGGGACGACGGCCUUCGGGUUGUAAACCUCUUUUAGCAGGGAAGAAGCGAAAGUGACGGUACCUGCAGAAAAAGCGCGGGCUAACUACG
rnacentral:rRNA from 1 species